rnacentral:rRNA from 1 species
AACGCGAAGAACCUUACCCAGGCUCGAAAUGUAAAGGACGGUAUCAGAGAUGAUACUUUCCGCAAGGACUUUUAUAUAGGUGCUGCAUGGCUGUCGUCAGCUCGUGCCGUGAGGUGUUGGGUUAAGUCCCGCAACGAGCGCAACCCUUAUCCCUAGUUGCCAUCGGGUCAAGCCGGGCACUCUAGUGAAACCGCCCAGGAUAACUGGGAGGAAGGUGGGGAUGACGUCAAGUCCUCAUGGCCUUUAUGUCCAGGGCUACACACGUGCUACAAUGGUCGGUACAAACCGUCGCAAACCCGCGAGGGGGAGCUAAUCGGAAAAAGCCGGACCUCAGUUCGGAUUGGAGUCUGCAACCCGACUCCAUGAAGCUGGAAUCGCUAGUAAUCGCGGAUCAGAACGCCGCGGUGAAUACGUUCCCGGGACCUUGUACACACCGGAGUA